UAAUGCGUGACCAACCUGCCCCAUGCUCCAGAAUAGCUCUUGGAAACGGGUGGUAAUGCUGGAUGCUCCAACUUGACGCAUGUCUUGUUGGGAAAGUGUUUAGUGGCAUGGGAUGGGGUCGCGUCCUAUCAGCUUGUAGGCGGGGUAAUGGCCCACCUAGGCUUCGACGGGUAGCCGGCCUGAGAGGGCGGACGGCCACAUUGGGACUGAGAUACGGCCCAGACUCCUACGGGAGGCAGCAGCG
rnacentral:rRNA from 1 species